rnacentral:rRNA from 1 species
AGAGUGAACGCUGGCGGUAGGCCUAACACAUGCAAGUCGAACGGCAGCACAGUAGGAGCUUGCUCUUACGGGUGGCGAGUGGCGGACGGGUGAGGAAUACAUCGGAAUCUACCUUUUGGUGGGGGAUAACGUAGGGAAACUUACGCUAAUACCGCAUACGCCCUUCGGGGGAAAGCCGGGGACCAGCAAUGGCCUGGCGCUGAUAGAUGAGCCGAUGUCGGAUUAGCUAGUUGGUGAGGUAAUGGCUCACCAAGGCGACGAUCCGUAGCUGGUCUGAGAGGAUGAUCAGCCACACUGGAACUGAGACACGGUCCAGACUCCUACGGGAGGCAGCAGUGGGGAAUAUUGGACAAGUGGGACGACAAGCCUGAUCCAGCCAUACCGGCGUGGGUGAAGAAGGCCGUUACGGUUGUAAAAGUCCCGUUUUUAGUUAGGGUAAAAGUAAAAACGCUAA